UACAGUGUACUUCUGUCCAUCUGACUGGUCUGUACUCCAUGUGGAGCGUCAGACGUCACAUCUUCAGCUUCGGGAUGAUGAACACACUCACUCUGCUGCUGCUUUCCUUUUCUCUGUCCUGUUGCACUGGUCAGAGGAUGGAGUCCAUUCCUUCCAGUUCAGUAGUGAAAAGGCCUGGGGAGACUCUCAGUCUGUCCUGCAGAGGAUCCGGCUUCACAUUUACUUGUUGUGGUAUGAGCUGGAUAAGACAACCUGAAGGGAAAGGACUGGAAUGGAUAGGGGUCGGACAUAUUCCUGCUAGUAGCAACAGAUAUGCCAGUAGUGUACAAGGACGAAUAGAAGUCAGUAGAGAUGACAGCAACAGCAUGGUGCAUCUGAGACUGUCCAACCUGAAGCCAGAGGACUCUGCAGUGUAUUACUGUGCAAAACACACACAGUGA